rnacentral:lncRNA from 1 species
UGCCCCAUUGGCUGCCCCUCGAACUUAAAUCCUCCUAGAGAUUGAGGGCAAAGAAUACCUCCGCCGACUUUGUCAAUAAAAACUUCAUCAAUUCAGUGGAGCAAGCGAAGUACUGUCUCUUCCAUCAUAACCAUGAUCAUGACACCGAUGAGUGCCUCCAACUAAAGGAUAAGAUCGAGGCACUAUCCGAUGAGGCUACCUCGAUAAAUAUGUUUGGAGGUAUCAUAACCUAACACCUGAGGAACCACCCGAUACCAGCCCGACCAAGAGAACAACAAUAACCAAUCGAUGGCUGGUGUUAUCAAUAUGAUCUCGAGCCUCGAAGGUGGC